rnacentral:rRNA from 1 species
UACAGAGGGUGCGAGCGUUGUCCGGAAUCACUGGGCGUAAAGGGCGCGUAGGUGGCGACCCAAGUCGAUGGUGAAAGCUCGCCGCUCAACGGCGAGUCGGCCACCGAUACUGGGUUGCUCGAGCACUGUAGAGGCAGAUGGAAUUCCCGGUGUAGUGGUGGAAUGCGUAGAUAUCGGGAGGAACACCAGUGGCGAAGGCGGUUGCCUGGAGCUUUGCUGACGCUGAUGCGCGAAAGCGUGGGGAGCGAACCGG